rnacentral:rRNA from 1 species
CACGUAGUUAGCCGGCGCUUCUUCUGCAGGUACCGUCACUUGCGCUUCUUCCCUGCUGAAAGCGGUUUACAACCCGAAGGCCGUCAUCCCGCACGCGGCGUCGCUGCAUCAGGCUUUCGCCCAUUGUGCAAUAUUCCCCACUGCUGCCUCCCGUAGGAGUCUGGGCCGUGUCUCAGUCCCAGUGUGGCCGGUCACCCUCUCAGGCCGGCUACCCGUCAUCGCCACGGUGAGCCACUACCUCACCGUCAAGCUGAUAGGCCGCGAGCCCAUCCAAGACCGCAAAAGCUUUCCACCACUCACCAUGCGGUAAGAGGUUAUAUCCGGUAUUAGACCCAGUUUCCCAGGCUUAUCCCAGAGUCAAGGGCAGGUUGCUCACGUGAUACUCACCCGUUCGCCACUAAUCCACUUCCUGCAAGCAGGAAGCUUCAUCGUUCGACUUGCAUGUGUUAAGCACGCCGCCAGCGUUCAUCCUGAGCCAGGAUCAAA